AGGUAAAGUGGCUGAGCAAGUAGUGGGUUGUAGCCCCAAAGACAGAGGUUUAACCCUCUCUUUACC
rnacentral:tRNA from 1 species